GGGGAAGUUAGUGCGCAGGUUGCCGUAGGACUUGCUGAGCAAAGGAAAACACAAAUGGAGAAAGACCACAUGGAAGGGGACUUUGGAUGGCAUGGUGAAGGGCUUUAGAUGGAAGGGGACUGAAACUGCCCCCACCGUGCUCACACACAGCUUAACUUCGCAGUCCUAGAUUGAAUAACACAAGCUGGCACUCAGCUGAAAGAGACAGCAAAUGUAUGAGGGGUCACCCAUUCCUAGAGGAGAUUCAUGAGAUCACUCCAGACCCAGUUCCAAAAAUUCUGGAAGAAUGGAUUGAUUGGUCCAGGAACUGGCAUUGUCCUAUCCAAAGUUAAAGAGAACCACCUGCCUAGUUUCACCAACGGCUGUCUGUGGAAGUUACGCGUGUCAGUUCUGGACUAGAGUAUAAAAAAGCAAGUUCUUCCUUAGCUUUCCUGCCUUGCCAAGUAGCCAAGGAGCCCUCAUGUUCCAAGUGAUACAGCUCCACCAUGGUGGCCCCUCCAUCCGUCUGGGUCCAUGAGUGAUUAUGUGGCGCACAUGCGUGGGGUAUGUACCAUGAAUAAGAAAUAAAUUUAUGUU